rnacentral:lncRNA from 1 species
CACUUUCAAAUGUAUUGUACAUAAAAUAAUCAGCUUAGAUGUACUAUAUGUUAAGGUAAUAUCCACUAUCAGGACAGCUCUACUGGACACAAAAGAACACGUUUAGCCAUAAACAGCUAUGAACAGUUCAGUACUAAAGAAUGUUCAUGAUUAUUACACUUUCACUUGUAAAAGCUUAUAAAUAAUGAAACCCUAAACAAUCGGCGUGGGAUCCCUAUUUUCAUAUUAAUUCCCUGCAAAUGAAAUAGUACUUUCACAAGAAUCAUAUAUUUGAACAAUUGAAAUAAAAGUAAUGAUAAUACCAACCAAAGAUGCGACUGGAAACACA